CGGAGGGAUCAUUACUGAGUUUACGCUCUAUAACCCUUUGUGAACAUACCUAUAACUGUUGCUUCGGCGGGCAGGGUCUCCGCGACCCUCCCGGCCUCCCGCCCCCGGGCGGGUCGGCGCCCGCCGGAGGAUAACCAAACUCUGAUUUAACGACGUUUCUUCUGAGUGGUACAAGCAAAUAAUCAAAACUUUUAACAACGGAUCUCUUGGUUCUGGCAUCGAUGAAGAACGCAGCGAAAUGCGAUAAGUAAUGUGAAUUGCAGAAUUCAGUGAAUCAUCGAAUCUUUGAACGCACAUUGCGCCCGCCAGCAUUCUGGCGGGCAUGCCUGUUCGAGCGUCAUUUCAACCCUCAAGCUCUGCUUGGUGUUGGGGCCCUACAGCUGAUGUAGGCCCUCAAAGGUAGUGGCGGACCCUCCCGGAGCCUCCUUUGCGUAGUAACUUUACGUCUCGCACUGGGAUCCGGAGGGACUCUUGCCGUAAAACCCCCCAAUUUUCCAAAGGUUGACCUCGGAUCAGGUAGGAAUACCCGCUGAACUUAAGCAUAUCAAUAA
rnacentral:rRNA from 1 species